AGGACAUUGUCAGGUGGGGAGUU
rnacentral:siRNA from 1 species